rnacentral:rRNA from 1 species
CAGCAGCCGCGGUAAUACAGAGGGUGCGAGCGUUAAUCGGAUUUACUGGGCGUAAAGCGUGCGUAGGCGGCUUUUUAAGUCGGAUGUGAAAUCCCUGAGCUUAACUUAGGAAUUGCAUUCGAUACUGGGAAGCUAGAGUAUGGGAGAGGAUGGUAGAAUUCCAGGUGUAGCGGUGAAAUGCGUAGAGAUCUGGAGGAAUACCGAUGGCGAAGGCAGCCAUCUGGCCUAAUACUGACGCUGAGGUACGAAAGCAUGGGGAGCAAACAGGAUUAGAUACCCCUGUAGUCCCUGUCUCUUAUGC